UAUGCUUUAGUUUAAAUAUAUAUCUCGAGCUGUGAGUGCUCAUCAGAGCUCUCAACUUUUAUUUGGUAUUUUUUUGAUCACCAUGUGCUGUUAUAGUCGCUUUUAUAGGGACACUCCCUGUGUCCAGUGCUGCCUUAUCGAUUGCAGUUAUUGCUGUUAUCGAACCAGCUGUGAUGGACCCUGUGGCCCGUGUGCAACUGCGGCGCCCGGUUGCUGUGGCGGUGCGUGCGGAGAUUUGAAUUACAAAUUUUCGUUCUUUGGCCUACAUUUACUAUGAUUAUUCCAAUCUAUCUGACAAACACCAACGAGUUAUAGG